CACCAUACAAGGAAAGGCUCCGCGCGCUCUCCACCCCACCUACUCCUCCACUAUCAGGUGGGAAGCGCACCUUGGAGGUCACGUGACGCCGCCGAGACUCGCGCGCAGGGUAAAGGUGGACUGCUUUGGUCUCGCUGUGUCCUGUCAUCUGUCCGCUGACAUUCUAUUCACCUGCGUCUUUGACGGGAUUGGGAACGAAUCCGUUGGAUUUUUCCAAGAUGUCCAUCAGCCGGAAGAACUGGUCGGCUUUAUCCAGCCUGGCACGCCAGUGGACGAUGGAGGAUGAGGAGGAGGCAGAGCGUGAGAGGAGGCGAAGGGGGAAGAGCAUCACCACGGCUGAGCCAGAUGUGGACUCCAGCCCUGAACCCAAAAACCAGUCGUCUGCCAGUGACACUGUCUCCGGGACGGAGUCCUCUCAGGGGUCCCAGGACAUCAGCAGUGUGCAGCAGAUGCAGCUGGACUUUGUGGAGAUGUUGCGAGUGCGCGAUGAGAAGCGGAGAAUGCGUCACGUGGAAAUACUGCGACAGCAGAAAGAGGAAGAGGACGAUCCUGUGGGAAGCGGGAGAGGAGGAAAAGGAGGAGACGAGGGGGGUGUCAGCCUGGCUUUUCUUGGGGGGCUGGAUGAGGAGAAAGACAGUGUGUUCAAGCCACAACCACCUUUGAAAAUAUCCACCAGUAGCAAAGCUAAAACCACCACGGAAAGCAGACAGGAAGCUUUCGUUGGCCAUAUCUGA
rnacentral:lncRNA from 1 species